rnacentral:rRNA from 1 species
AUGAACGCUAGCGGCAGGCUUAACACAUGCAAGUCGAGGGGCAGCAUAAUGGUAGUAAUACUAUUGAUGGCGACCGGCGGACGGGUGCGUAACGCGUAUGCAACCUACCCUUUACAGGGGGAUAACACUGAGAAAUCGGUACUAAUACCCCAUAAUAUUCUGGGAGGCAUCUUUCGGAGUUGAAAGCUUUGGUGGUAAAGGAUGGGCAUGCGUUGUAUUAGCUAGUUGGUAAGGUAACGGCUUACCAAGGCGACGAUACAUAGGGGGACUGAGAGGUUAACCCCCCACAUUGGUACUGAGACACGGACCAAACUCCUACGGGAGGCAGCAGUGAGGAAUAUUGGUCAAUGGACGGAAGUCUGAACCAGCCAUGCCGCGUGCAGGAAGACGGCUCUAUGAGUUGUAAACUGCUUUUGUACGAGGGUAAACGCAGAUACGUGUAUCUGCCUGAAAGUAUCGUACGAAUAAGGAUCGGCUAACUCCGUGCCAGCAGCCGCGGUAAUACGGAGGAUCCAAGCGUUAUCCGGAUUUAUUGGGUUUAAAGGGUGCGUAGGCGGUUUAGUAAGUCAGCGGUGAAAUUUUGGUGCUUAACACCAAACGUGCCGUUGAUACUGCUGGGCUAGAGAGUAGUUGCGGUAGGCGGAAUGUAUGGUGUAGCGGUGAAAUGCUUAGAGAUCAUACAGAACACCGAUUGCGAAGGCAGCUUACCAAACUAUAUCUGACGUUGAGGCACGAAAGCGUGGGGAGCAAACAGGAUAGAUACCCUGGUAGUCCACGCAGUAAACGAUGAUAGCUCGUUGUCGGCGAUACACAGUCGGUGACUAAGAGAAAUCGAUAAGCUAUCCACCUGGGGAGUACGUUCGCAAGAAUGAAACUCAAAGGAAUUGACGGGGGCCCGCACAAGCGGAGGAACAUGUGGUUUAAUUCGAUGAUACGCGAGGAACCUUACCCGGGCUUGAAAGUUACUGACGAUUCUGGAAACAGGAUUUCCCUUCGGGGCAGGAAACUAGGUGCUGCAUGGUUGUCGUCAGCUCGUGCCGUGAGGUGUCGGGUUAAGUCCCAUAACGAGCGCAACCCCUACUGAUAGUUGCCAUCAGAGCGUUUGAGCGAUCAAACAAGCUGGGCACUCUAUCGGGACUGCCGGUGUAAGCCGAGAGGAAGGUGGGGAUGACGUCAAAUCAGCACGGCCCUUACGUCCGGGGCGACACACGUGUUACAAUGGUAGGUACAGAGGGCAGCCACCCAGUGAUGGGGAGCGAAUCUCGAAAGCCUAUCUCAGUUCGGAUUGGAGGCUGAAACUCGCCUCCAUGAAGUUGGAUUCGCUAGUAAUCGCGCAUCAGCCAUGGCGCGGUGAAUACGUUCCCGGGCCUUGUACACACCGCCCGUCAAGCCAUGGGAGUUGGGGGUGCCUGAAGUUCGUGACCGAAAGGAGCGACCUAGGGCAAAACCGAUGACUGGGGCU